CAGUCGCCACGGUAAUACGGAGGGGGCUAGCGUUGUUCGGAAUUACUGGGCGUAAAGCGCACGUAGGCGGCGGCCAAAGUCAGGCGUGAAAUUCCCGGGCUCAACCUGGGGGCUGCGUUUGAUACUUGGUUGCUUGAGUGGGGAAGAGGGUCGUGGAAUUCCCAGUGUAGAGGUGAAAUUCGUGGAUAUUGGGAAGAACACCGGUGGCGAAGGCGGCGACCUGGUCCUUUACUGACGCUGAGGCGCGAAAGCGUGGGGAGCAAACGGGAUUAGAUACCCGUGUAGUCCCUGUCUCUUAUAC
rnacentral:rRNA from 1 species